rnacentral:lncRNA from 1 species
AAGAAUCUGCCCCCAAUGCAGGAAACUCAGGUUCGAUCCCUGGGUUGGGAAGAUCCCCUGGAGAAGAAAACAGCAACCCACUUCAAAAUUCUUGCCUGAGAAAUCCCAUGGACAGAGGACUUCAGUACCUGGGGUUGCAAAGAGUUGGACAGGGCUUAGUGACGAAACAACAACAGCAUCCUUUGAGGUGGACGUUGCAAAAUACUUUGUCUUCCAGGGUGUGGGCAGGAAGAUUUUCCUGAAUCCUUAUCAAGGAUGACUUCUGUGAAGUUUUCCUAAGAGGAGGACUCUCUUUGAAGUGGUGAACAGAAUCCGAGCUUAAAGUGAUUCUUCUUUGAAGAGACACGAGCCUGGGAGGUAGAGUGACCUGCCCUGGGUCCCGUGGCUGCACCAAGAAGAGUCUGAAUGGAGAGCAUCUUUUCUGUUUCUCUGUUUGUGCUUCGGGUCCUACAUCCAGGGUAUCAACCACAGCUGCUCAAGGUUCUGCUUCUCCAAUUGCCACCAUUUACAUCAGGAGGAAAUGGAUCCUACAAAGAGAGGCGUAGACUCCAGCAUUUAUGGGGCAUUUACUGUGUGCCAAGCCCUGGCAUUGUUUUUAUGAGGAUGUCACCGAUUCUUAUGACAAACAUAUGGGGUAGGGGGUAUUUUUAUUCCUAUUUCAAAGAGGAUGAGACAGAAGCACAGCAAUGUAGUCGCAUGGCCAUUAUCACAAGGCUGGAAUGUGGUAGGGCUGGGGUUUGGACCUGUGAAGAUAAACUCUGGGGUCAGCCUCAUCUUUUUUACUUUAAUUUAUUUUUGGUCAUACAACACAGCAUGUGGGAUCUUAUAGUUCUCAGACCAGGGGUUGAACCUGUGCCCUCUGCAUCAGAACUGUGGAGUCUUAACCACUGGACCACCAGGGAAGGCCCAGCCUCAUUUUCAUAGCCUCUUUAAUGCAGUAUUCUUGCUUCUUUUCUGAUGCUGGCCCUGUCAUGAUGGGGAGAAGCACAUAUUCUUUGACAAUGAAAGCAGAAUUUACAUUUAUAUUAACUCUAAUUUCCUUCUCUGUAACUCAGCACAGAGAAUCUUUCUUCCAGGGUCUGUUUUCUUUCAGGAUGAAGCUGCUCAUCCUUCAUAAGCGUACAGAAGAAGUAACUAAUAUAAUAAUAUUACUAAUGAUUACCUCCUGGUUUUACAAGACCCUUUUCCAUAUAACUUAUCUCAAGAGACUUGGAUGCUCUAAAACAGAGAAAGAAUAAGAUUAGUUUCUAGGGAAGGAAAUUCUGUAACUGAACCCAGAUUAUAAUUUAAAAAUAAUAAAUCCAAAUGGAAUUAUCUCUGAAGCUAUCUU